CUUUCAGUCCGAUGUUUGCUGC
rnacentral:miRNA from 1 species